CGUCGGCGAUAUAUCUCUCUGAGAAGAGUAUGUCUAAUCGCAUUUGCUUUAAGAAAAAAAGAUAUGAUUCUGCGCCCUCCCAUAAUGGAGGCGGCUGAUAUCCGGAUUAGUUAGUGUAAAGAAAAGCUCCCCCAAGGCGCCCGUUCUUUGUUGGUUGGAGAGGACGACCACCCACAGUAGAACUGGGCCACGGCCCAGACUUCUUAGGAGAGGCAGCAGUGGGGAUUUUUGGACAAUGGGAGGAAACCCUUGAUCCCAGCCAUUCCGCGUGUGUGAAGAAGGCCUUCGGGUUGUAAAGCACUUUGGCGAGAAAGAAACGGCGUCGACUAAUACUCGGCGUAACUGACGGUACCCGCAGAAUAAGCACCGGCUAACUACGUGCCAGCAGCCGCGGUAAUACGUAGGGUGCAAGCGUUAAUCGGAAUUACUGGGCGUAAAGCGUGCGCAGGCGGUUCGGAAAGAAAGAUGUGAAAUCCCAGGGCUCAACCUUGGAACUGCAUUUUUAACUACCGGACUAGAGUAUGUCAGAGGGGGGUGGAAUUCCACGUGUAGCAGUGAAAUGCGUAGAUAUGUGGAGGAACACCGAUGGCGAAGGCAGCCCCCUGGGAUAAUACUGACGCUCAUGCACGAAAGCGUGGGGAGCAAACAGGAUUAGAUACCCUGGUAGUCCACGCCCUAAACGAUGUCAACUAGCUGUCGGGACCUUCGGGUUUUGGUAGCGCAGCUAACGCGUGAAGUUGACCGCCUGGGGAGUACGGUCGCAAGAUUAAAACUCAAAGGAAUUGACGGGGACCCGCACAAGCGGUGGAUGAUGUGGAUUAAUUCGAUGCAACGCGAAAAACCUUACCUACCCUUGACAUGUCUAGAAUCCCGAAGAGAUUUGGGAGUGCUCGAAAGAGAACUGGAACACAGGUGCUGCAUGGCCGUCGUCAGCUCGUGUCGUGAGAUGUUGGGUUAAGUCCCGCAACGAGCGCAACCCUUGUCAUUAGUUGCUACGAAAGGGCACUCUAAUGAGACUGCCGGUGACAAACCGGAGGAAGGUGGGGAUGACGUCAGGUCCUCAUGGCCCUUAUGGGUAGGGCUUCACACGUCAUACAAUGGUCGGGACAGAGGGCUGCCAACCCGCGAGGGGGAGCCAAUCCCAGAAACCCGAUCGUAGUCCGGAUUGUAGUCUGCAACUCGACUGCAUGAAGUCGGAAUCGCUAGUAAUCGCGGAUCAGAAUUCACGUACCCCCA
rnacentral:rRNA from 1 species